rnacentral:misc_RNA from 1 species
UCCGACUUAACGUCGGCAGUCUCGCCAGAGUCCUCGGCAUGACCCGGUAGCAACUGGGAGCGGGGGUUGCGCUCGUUGCGGGACUUAACCCAACAUCUCACGACACGAGCUGACGACAGCCAUGCAGCACCUGUGCAGGGACUCCGAAGAGGGGUCCUGGUUUCUCAGGACUUUCCCCUGCAUGUCAAGCCCAGGUAAGGUUCUUCGCGUUGCGUCGAAUUAAACCACAUGCUCCACCGCUUGUGCGGGCCCCCGUCAAUUCCUUUGAGUUUCAGCCUUGCGGCCGUACUCCCCAGGCGGGGCACUUAAUGCGUUAGCGCCGGCACUCGGAGGGUCGCUCCCCCAAGCACCUAGUGCCCAUCGUUUACGGCGUGGACUAC